GAAACCGUUUAGGGGUAAACCUGAGAAACCCGAAAGGUCGAAGGAAGAAAUUCAAUCGUGUCCGAUAAGGUUAUUGUGCGGUGCUGGUGUCGCUGAAUGGAUUCGUUCAUUUGUCGCCCUACUGUAUGAUAUAUGUACCUUGUUGAACGCGUGCACUUUUCUUCUGGUAGGACGUCGCGAUCCGUUGAGUGUUGAUUUACGGUUUGAAUGGUAGCCUGUCAAUGGAGAGUUCUUUUGGGUUCUUUUUGAUAGACCUUUGAUACCCGAUCAACUGGCUCGACGGUAUAUAUAACGGUUCUAGGCCGCUAAUUUAAAAGCGUUCGGCUUGUGGCAAGCAUGUCAAAUGUUUCGGUACAUCGGACCUAGUGCCGUGUCUGAUCCUUGACUACUGUUGGCCACUUUGUCUCGAACAGACCUAUGAACCGAUCUGCGACGAUAUAGCUUUGGGUAAUUUCAGGACCCGUCUUGAAACACGGACCAAGGAGUCUAGCAUGUACGCAAGUCAUUGGGAAUCACAAAACCUAAAGGCGUAAUGAAAGUAAACGUUUUCCUUUACGGUUAACGAUGGGAAGACGGGCGGUUUAAACUUUAUAGUUUACGUUCUGCAUUCCCGGGGCGUCUCAUUCUCAUUACGAGAGGAGGCGCACCAUGAGCGUACACGCUGGGACCCGAAAGAUGGUGAACUAUGCCUGG
rnacentral:rRNA from 1 species